GAUGAACGCUGGCGGCGUGCCUAAUACAUGCAAGUCGAGCGAACAGAUAAGGAGCUUGCUCCUUUGACGUUAGCGGCGGACGGGUGAGUAACACGUGGGUAACCUACCUAUAAGACUGGGAUAACUUCGGGAAACCGGAGCUAAUACCGGAUAAUAUUUCGAACCGCAUGGUUCGAUAGUGAAAGAUGGUUUUGCUAUCACUUAUAGAUGGACCCGCGCCGUAUUAGCUAGUUGGUAAGGUAACGGCUUACCAAGGCGACGAUACGUAGCCGACCUGAGAGGGUGAUCGGCCACACUGGAACGGAGACACGGUCCAGACUCCUACGGGAGGCAGCAGUAGGGAAUCUUCCGCAAAGGGCGAAAGCCUGACGGAGCAACGCCGCGUGAGUGAUGAAGGUCUUCGGAUCGUAAAACUCUGUUAUUAGGGAAGAACAUACGUGUAAGUAACUGUGCACGUCUUGACGGUACCUAAUCAGAAAGCCACGGCUAACUACGUG
rnacentral:rRNA from 1 species